UAGACUGCUGGUAUAAUGUCAAGAAGGAUGGUGACACAAACUUGGAACCACUGGAGGGAGGAAGCCUGCAAAACCCACAAGGCAGAGAUGGACAGCUAAAAAGGCCCCUGCUGUUAAAGCACCUCAAGACACUGUAGCAAACCAAACAGCAGUUGAGGUGAUUGCUGAAGAACCUAAGCAACUUGUGGCAGACCAGGUGUUGAAACACGUUCUCAAGGCACUAAACUAAACGUGUG
rnacentral:lncRNA from 1 species